UAGUACCGUGGGUGCUCCGGUGCUUAGACGCCUAACAGGGAAGACGGUGCGAUUCCGUCGCGGUCCCGCCGCUGUAACCGGGUACGAAAGCCGAGAGCCGCAUUAAAAGCGGGGAUAAGCCACUGGGCCUUGAGGCAUGGGAAGGCGCGGCAAGUAGGUUGAUCCGGGAGCCAGAAGACCUGCCGGAGAAAAAGGCCCCCU
rnacentral:ncRNA from 1 species